GACUAGCUCUGUGCUCUUAUCUUAACUACAGUAGUUUAUUAUUAUAUUUUGAUCAACCACAUCAUAUCAGAGACAACCGUCGAUAACCGUACGAUGCUACCUGCAGCUCAUGCACCAGACAAAGACAUCUGACAAGAGGGGAUGGCUGAAGAACACCAUACCAAAGAAGUUGAUGAGGGUGACAUUGCUGUACAUCUGCUUUAUGAAGAUUAAAAAUAUAUUUGCAAGUAAUUUGCUAUCGAGUUUCGUUUAUACCGAAUGGAAUUUUAAACUUGACGCCUACUUCUUUAAUUAACUAACUUAACUAAUUACUGAUUGAAAUAGAGUACACGUAUUUGAAAAUAAAUUUCGUAAGGUUAUCUACGUAAUAUUGUUAUCUUUAUUUUAUCACGCAUUGUGUUA